UACAGAGGGUGCGAGCGUUAAUCGGAAUUACUGGGCGUAAAGGGCGCGUAGGCGGUCAUUCAAGUGAGAUGUGAAAUCCCCGGGCUUAACCUGGGAACUGCAUUUUAGACUGAGUGACUGGAGUACUGUAGAGGAUAGUGGAAUUUCCGGUGUAGCGGUGAAAUGCGUAGAGAUCGGAAGGAACACCAGUGGCGAAGGCGACUGUCUGGACAGAUACUGACGCUGAGGCGCGAAAGCGUGGGGAGCAAACAGG
rnacentral:rRNA from 1 species